rnacentral:rRNA from 1 species
UACAGAGGUCCCAAGCGUUGUUCGGAUUUACUGGGCGUAAAGGGUGCGUAGGUGGCGGGGUAAGUCUGGUGUGAAAGCUCCGAGCUCAACUCGGAAAAGCAUUGGAAACUAUCCCGCUUGAGGGUCGGAGGGGAGACUGGAAUUCUCGGUGUAGCAGUGAAAUGCGCAGAUAUCAGGAAGAACACCAAUGGCGAAAGCAGCUUCUGGGACGGUGACUGACGCUGGAGCAC